CCGAUGACUCGUACCUGUUCAACUCAUCGCCCAAAUGGGCUGACCGACCCGAGCCGCAUGAUGGCCAGUCGCAGGCGUUCGCAUCCACCCGCCAGGUGGCGCCGCCACGUAAUGUAUAUCGGCUCUCUACUUCAUCCGUCCGCCUUCGCCGCACCUUGUGCUGAUCUCUCUGCCUCUUCCUUCCUCCAGACACUCAUCUUUGGAUUGAAUCUUGAUCUCCCUUUCUCUGCCGGACGAUCUCGUGGCCCGUCGAUAAGGUCUGGAGCUAUUCCGCGCGGAUCACUUUAACUUCCAUUUUCUCCGCAUUUUUGCUGCUCUCGUUCGAGGCAUUUUUUAGAACUCGAGUUGUUUCUCAGUCUUCACAAUGCAGCGAUCGUUAUAAGGAUACCUAGGAUACGGUUGCAGGGUUAUGCCAGUAGAACGACUGCUGGAUGGAUUGCUCUUGGGUUUUUUGACGGAAUGUUUGGUAUGAGUUGUCCAGGUUUUAAUCGACUUGCUACGAUGAGUUCCGGAAGGGCUAAAGGGAUCUUCGAUGGGUCGCCGAUUCCUGCUGAUACAGAGUACUUGAAAUUGGGUCUUUCCAGGAUUGAUGAAAGUUGAGCUGUGAGCCGUUUAGAUUCAUUGCCACAUGUUGUCCACAUGUUGACAUCAAAAGAUCAUGAAGGUGAAGUUCAGUUCUUGAAGGAACAGAGAGAUCUUGUUGAGGAUGUUGUGGAUGAAGUUGUUCACGUUUAUCAUCAUGGGUUUAAUAAAGCAAUUCAAUACUUCUCUCAAGAUUCUGCGGUUGUUUAGUGAAUCUGCGGAGAGUAUUUCUGUUGAUAUGGCUGAUGCAAAGAAACUUCUUGGCUCUCACAAUAAGCAACUGCAUCAAUUAUGGUACCACUCUCUUAGUUUGCGCCAUGCACUAGCUUUGUUGAAUCAAAUUGAGAGUGUAUCUAAGGUAUGUUAACCCCAUGA